rnacentral:rRNA from 1 species
GUGGGGAAUAUUGGACAAUGGGGGGAACCCUGAUCCAGCCAUGCCGCGUGUGUGAAGAAGGCCUUUUGGUUGUAAAGCACUUUAAGCGAGGAGGAGGCUACCGAGAUUAAUACUCUUGGAUAGUGGACGUUACUCGCAGAAUAAGCACCGGCUAACUCUGUGCCAGCAGCCGCGGUAAUACAGAGGGUGCAAGCGUUAAUCGGAUUUACUGGGCGUAAAGCGCGCGUAGGUGGCCAAUUAAGUCAAAUGUGAAAUCCCCGAGCUUAACUUGGGAAUUGCAUUCGAUACUGGUUGGCUAGAGUAUGGGAGAGGAUGGUAGAAUUCCAGGUGUAGCGGUGAAAUGCGUAGAGAUCUGGAGGAAUACCGAUGGCGAAGGCAGCCAUCUGGCCUAAUACUGACACUGAGGUGCGAAAGCGUGGGGAGCAAACAGGAUUAGAUACCCCAGUAGUCC